rnacentral:miRNA from 1 species
UCAUAUUGUUUAUUUCU